GGUAGCAGUAUUUGAUUGGCGGUGUACCCUAAAUCUCUAGAUUCUCGUAAUGGGCAAGGAUUGGAGAACUCUAUAAAGGAGGGGAGUCCCUUUUCUCAUCGUAGCUUGCUAUUCGUAUCCCAUAUACGGCAGAACUCGAAAGAGAAGAGAAGACUUCAUUCUCAAUAGUUGCUGCUGUUCUUGACCACUCAGCUGGAGCUAAUCAGGUAUGUAACAUCACUCAUUAUGUUAGUAAAUCAUGAUCUUAAUUUUUGGCAAGGUCCUUCAUUAUUUCUGUUGGCUUCAAUGAUUUUGUAUGCUAAUUUUCCUACAUGCUGAUCUUGGACCUGGCCAGCAACGAACUAAGUGGUAGUAUACCCAAACAACUUUUUGAACUUCCCUCUUUAUUGAUUCUAAACUUAGGUAACAACUCAUUUACUGAUGCACUUCCUAAGGAAGUUGGUAAGUUGAAAAACCUUCAGCGGUUGUUCCUAACAGCAAACCGAUUAUCUGGUGAAAUCCCAAGUACCAUAGGCGAGUGUUUAAGCUUAAAAUAUUUAUAUCUGGAUAAUAAUUUCGUCCAAGGAGACAUUCCUCGAUUUCUUACUUUCUUAGAAGGUCUUGAUGCAUCAAGUCUUUCUCACAAUAACUUGUCUGGUGUUGUACCGGAAGGGUUUGAAAAUCUUGCACUCGCUUGGUUAGAUAUAUCAUACAACAAUCUAGAGGGACUAGUACCAAAAGACGGGGUGUUCAAGAACAUAAGUGCAUUUUUAUUUGAAGGGAAUAAGAAGCUUUGUGGUAAUGUGGUGGGAUACCUGUCUUGAAGCUUCCAAACUGCUCUGUGCCAAUAAAUCCCAAUAUGGAGCAGAAACAGAGGAAAUCAAAGCCGGUCAAAUUUAUAAUAAUCAGCAUAGUUAUUGCGGUUUUUCUUUUAACUUUGAGUGUGUUUUUGCUCUAUAUGUAUUGGAGAAUGAAGUAAAAAAAAAGACUUCCCGCAACAACUUCAAACGUGGGUAAUAAUAAGUUCAUGGGAGUUUCUUACAAUGAGCUCCUUAAAGCUACCAAUGGAUUUAAUGAUUCUACCAACUUGCUUGGUGUCGGAAGUUUUGGUUCUGUAUACAAGGGAAUUCUUCAACAAGAUGAGUCAAUGCCUGUUGCAGUUAAAGUUAUGCGCCUUCAACAAAGAGGCGCAACCAAGAGUUUCAUGGCUGAAUGUGAUGCUUUAAGGAAAGUUAGGCACAGAAACUUACUCAAGAUUGUUACUUGUUGCUCGAGUACUGAUUUUCAAGGUAAUCCAUUCAAAGCUUUGGUUUUUGAGUUCAUGCCUAAUGGGAGUCUAGAAAAUUGGAUACACCCGUCGGUAAAUGAUGCAAACAACGAGGAUCAGGUACAACCAAAGAAUUUGAAUUUGGAAAGAAGACUAAGUAUUGCAGUCGAUGUUGCUUCUGCAUUAAAUUAUCUUCACCAUGAUUCUCAAUCGCCGGUUGUGCACUGUGAUGUGAAGCCAAGUAAUGUCCUUCUUGAUGAUGAUUUAACUGCUCAUGUGGGUGAUUUCGGCUUGGCUAAAUUACUUGUUAAUUCGUCCAGUAAUUCUAGACAGCAGCUGAAUGAACAAGAUGCAAACUCGAUAGCAAUAAAGGGCUCCAUCGAUUAUGUUUCUCCUGGUAAGAAAAUAAGCUUAAUUAUUACUCCAUAUAUAGUACAUUAUGUUAUUGAGGUCUAAUUUGUGUUUUGGUUUGUGCGGAAUAUGGAAUGGGUGGUGAAGUUUCUGCACAAGGUGAUGUUUAUAGUUUUGGGAUCCUUCUGUGGAAACUUCUGAGGAACCCAAGUCUGGUUUCUCUUUCAUUUUGAAACUCAUCAUUAAAAUGGUAGUGGUCAAUGAGUUGCCGUUUUUUUGUGCGUUUUCUAUGAGCAGUUUCGUCCACAAAUUUUGGCCAGUUAAGAUUAUUGCUAUUAUCUUCGGCAGGUUAAGGUUAUUAUUCGCUUAUUUUCAUUUAUUGGGAAUCUCGCUUGUGAGUUUGUCACCAUCACUUUGUCUUUCUUCUUUCAAUAUCAAAUGUUCUCUGAUCACAAAACUUUCUUCUUAAUGAAGAUUGAAGGAUAGAUAAAUUAGUGUGAAGUUUGCACUAGUCCCAUGUCAAUAUGAAAGCUUGUUGUAUAUCAAUCAUAUUUCAUCAUAAAGGAGAAAUUCACCCUUGCCUACGUAGCAUCUUUAUCAAAGAAAAACCUACAUAGCAACAAUUAAUUAGAUGACCAGGUGAGAAGAUUCAAGGCGGGAUGAUCCAAAGAGUAUCUUCAAAUUAGGACGUCGUCUGAUAUUUCAUGAUUUGGGUGCUAUGCACUUUUUUUUUGUUUUCUUUUUUUUUUGCCCCAAUUUCCCAAUGUACAUAUCCUGGUCUCCAUUGUGAUUGGUCUCAGUUGCAUGACAUACUAAUUACAGAAGGUGAUGUUGGGGUGAAAGUUGUUGUUUAUAACCUUGCAAACAAGGAGGUACCGGUGGUAAUUGCAAAUAUCCCAACAUUUGAUAGUUGUGAUCCCAACAUUUGAUAACUGUGA